GUACUGCCGAAGAGUCCGAAACUAGGACAAAACAGCUGUCCAGUAC
rfam:Trichobilharzia regenti genome assembly, scaffold: TRE_scaffold0088469